AUUUAGAGACAGUUGUACCCCCACUUUUUAAUAGACGAAGAAACUGAGGCCGAGGGAGGGAAAACAAUACUUGUGAAAGACCACAGAGAAACCUGGUGAGACAGCUGAGGCCACACUGGAGUUCUCCUAGGGCCACAUUCUCUCCUACACCCAGAAAAAGUGAAUGCGAAUGUUGGUGAGCCAGCAAAAGAGCUGAGGAGGUGUGAUCGCACAGCAGGGCCCAAGUUACUUCCAAACAACGA
rnacentral:lncRNA from 1 species